UACGGAGGGGACUAGCGUUGUUCGGAAUUACUGGGCGUAAAGCGCACGUAGGCGGAUUUGUAAGUCAGGGGUGAAAUCCCGGGGCUCAACCUCGGAACUGCCUUUGAUACUGCAAAUCUCGAGUCCGGAAGAGGUGAGUGGAAUUCCUAGUGUAGAGGUGAAAAUUCGUAGAUAUUUAGGAAGAAACACCAGUGGCGAAGGCGGCUCACUGGUCCGGUACUGACGCUGAGGUGCGAAAGCGUGGGGAGCAAACAGG
rnacentral:rRNA from 1 species